AUGCGCUCCUGCGCGCCCCUCCCCAACCCACCCUUCAAACCCGCGCCCGCGCCCCAUCCAAACCUAAACCCAAAUCCCAACGCCGCCUCCGCGCACAGACCAACACUGCUCCGCUGCGCCCUCGUCGCGCGCGCGGCCGCAAGGGACGAUCCGCCGCCGGCGCCGUCCAGCUUCGACUUCCUGGCGCUGAAGCGGGAGCUCGAGGAGCAGGAGGAUGCGGUGGUCCCUGUGGAUGCGACAGAGGGAGGAGGAGACGAGGUUGUUAACGAGGAAGAUGGCGAGAGGGAGCCGGAGAGGAUUGUUAGCGGCGGGAGGAGGACGGGGAGGCAAAUGGCGAGGCGGUCGGGGCUGCUAGCGAAGCAGGUGAUCAGCGUCAGCUCAGCUCGGAGCCUUGGGUUUGUGUCUCAGCUGUGGGUCGACGCCUCGUCGUGGGUUAUUGCAUUGGUUGAAGUGAGGCCAAGCUUGCUUUCAGGAGAUGCGGACAAAUUCCUUUUUGAGGAUAUAUAUCAGGUUGGAGAUGUUGUUCUUGUUGAGGAUGAAUCUGUGGUUGAGAACGAAUUUAAGCUAGUUGGGCUGCAUGGAUUGGUUGGCUACAAUGUCGUAACUUUCAGGCGGCGCAAUGUUGGUAAGGUGCGCGGCUUCACUUUUAACAUUAACUCAGGUGUUGUGGAGUCUCUUGAGCUUGAUUCAUUUGGGCUUACUAUUGUCCCUGCUAGUCUGGUAAGCACAUACUGUUUAUUUGUGGAAGAUGUGCUUGAUAUAGUUUGUGAUACGAUCGUAGUGCAUGAAGAUGCAAUCUCUCGUGUUCAACGGUUAACACAGGGCAUGUGGGGCACCCAAAAUAUGCAAGGACCUGGCGAUCAGAUAGGCGAGUACAACAGAUAUGGCAGGCGAAGAGCUAGGUCAGUUAAGAGACAAAAUAGUCAGGGUAAGCCCAUGGGCCGAAAGCUCCAUAGGAAAACGCGGGAUCCGGAAGGUGAGUGGGAACUGCCAAUGGAGUAUUGA
rnacentral:rRNA from 1 species